rfam:Triticum urartu cultivar G1812 contig64350, whole genome shotgun sequence.
AGCUGCGUGGUGAGCACAAAGCGAACUAUUCUUUCGCCUUUUACUAAAGAAUACCGUGUGCACGCCACAAUAAACAGCAUACGCUAAUUUUUAAAGGGUCUUUCCUCUUUUGAGGAGGGU